AGGAUUUCUACACUGGGAAUCACAGACCUGGCUAAAGACAGAACAAAAGAUUAGAGGAGUAACAUAGUUAUGGGUAACUUGAUUUCACCAAGACACUGACAAAAUCUCUCAGGAUAUUCCUGUAGAUGAAAAAACUGGGGUCCAGAGGCUAAAUAGCCUCAGGUCACAGAAAUAGAAGCAGCAGAGCUAAGAUUCCAAUCUGGGUCCUCUAACGCCAACCCAUCAUCUGUCUGCUAAACAAAAGAACAUUACAGCUUCAUGCCAGGCUAAGAGGGCCUUCAGAGGAAGGGGAGAUCAGUUGGUUUGAAGAGGAGGCUGCUUGGAGGAAGAAGGGAACUAGGACUAAGCCUUGAAUGGAGAAGGAAUGAAAACAUAAACCAGGAAAAGGGCCUCCAGGCAGCAUUGGAAAAACCGUUCUGUUUAGACUGAAGUUUUCCAUGGAGCAUUUGCGGUUCUGAGAAAUGAGCACAUUACGGC
rnacentral:lncRNA from 1 species